rnacentral:lncRNA from 1 species
CAGCCCUAAGCAAAAUAACUAUUGAUUAAUCUUUGUUUCCAUUGUAGAUCUCAGUGUGAAGGACUUCUAUAAUGCAUGAGCCAACAAUGUAUGUUACUGGUAAGAGACUACACAUCAGAGAGGUUCCCUCCGUGCACCAUCUGUUUCUCUGCAAUUGGGAAUGGUAGAAUAAUUUUCUGAAGAAUUGUUGACAAGACAUGGCAAGGGAACAAUAAUCCAUAAGGACAAGAUUUCUCAUUUAAGUCACUCAGCUUAUCUGCAAUAUAGCAAGAUUUUGAUUUACACUGGUCACCUUUGGAGCAGGGAGGACAGUGACUGGUAAGUAGCAUUUUCUUAUUGCACAGGCU